rnacentral:rRNA from 1 species
GAUGAACGCUAGCGGCAGGCUUAAUACAUGCAAGUCGAGGGGCAUCAAGGUACACGAAAGUGUAUUGUUGGCGACCGGCGGACGGGUGAGUAAUAGGUAGGUAACCUACCUCAUACUGAGGCAUAGCUGGGAGAAAUUCCAGGUAAUUCCUCAUGAGGUUAUAUGACACAUGUGAUAUAAUCAAAGGUAUCGCAAGGUACUGGUAUGAGAUGGGCUUACUGACCAUUAGCUAGUUGGUGAGAUAAGAGCUCACCAAGGCGAAGAUGGUUAGGGGUUUUGAGAGAGAGAUCCCCCACAUUGGAACUGAGAUACGGUCCAGACUCCUACGGGAGGCAGCAGUAGGGAAUAUUGGGCAAUGGGCGGAAGCCUGACCCAGCCAUGCCGCGUGAAGGAAGACGGCCUUAUGGGUUGUAAACUUCUUUACUAUGCGACUAACUAGAUUUUACGAGAUAAUUCUAUAGAAUGUAGCAUAGCAAAAGCACCGG